UUGCCAUAGAGAGAGCUUGAGAAAACAGUGAUUGUGGCCAAGUGUAGCUUUUUCUGAUCGUAAUGGCUGCAGACUUCGGCCUCUAUUACGAUACAGUUAUUUCGAUUGCCUAAACGACAGUAUCAAAAAGUUUAGAAAUCUACGUCGGAGAUUGGAGCGCACGGAUCAGCUCUUUUCAAUUGAAGUGUCCUCAAGUAUGCGCGGAAAAGUGGUGUGCAGAAUUAGACUUCCCGAAGAUCGUAAAUAGGAGCACGAAGCUUGCGGUUGAGCUUCCAUAACAGCAGGCGCCAUACGUCUGAAGCGGGCUUUGCCGACAAAAACCACGGCGGUACCCAAUUCUGAAGGAUGAGCGGUUCCAAGCAUUUAAAUGACAGAAUGGCCAGCAUAACACGCUGUGAGCGCGAAGUCGUCUUUUUCGCUCUAGUGAUUGGAAACACGUAACAGUUGGCUCCUGAGGUUUGAUUUCGUCACCUAACGUUACUAUAAAAUGAUUCAAUGUCUCUAAACGAAGAAGACUUCGCGCUGGCUUUAUAUGCAAUCUGUCCUGACGAAGAACCGAUCGAGGAAUUGUUAGAUCGCCACGUCGACGUGGGCAGACUGCGCCGGAGCUUCCUGAUUAAGUUGGUGUCAUUGUAGGCGGCAGAAGAAGCGAAAUGAGGAUCAA